rnacentral:lncRNA from 13 species
UAUGCUGUCUUUGAGAUGAGGCACUCAUGCUGUGCUCUGAAAGGAAUGAUAGAAUUACCUGAGAGUCUUCAAAACAGUUAAAAAGUGGCACCUGUGAUUAUCCCACAAGGCAUGCAUCCUUCAAAUUGAGUUGGAGUGGAAGUCUAUCUGAAGAUGGG